rnacentral:lncRNA from 12 species
AUGAAAGGUCACUGGCACGGAGGAGCCAGGAGGAGCCAGGAGCCGUGCGGUGCUGGGAGAGUGCUGGGAGAGGUGCACCCCACAGACCGGGGAUGGACCAACCUUUUCUCCCAUCUGCCUGAUAGGAAACUUGGGAGAGUUAACCCAUCCCACGUUACACUAAACGUAACAAAAGUGUAUGAAACAGAAAAUGCUUACACGUGGACAUCCCCUGAGUCGAUGACGCCUACUCUACUCCCUAAGGCCCCAUGGGACAAGGAGCCUGAGACCUUCCUGCGUGAAUGGCUUCAGACCCCAUUCCGAGGCCCUUAACCCCUAGAGAUUUCUCCUUCACCAUUUCUCUUCAACUGACUUCACCACUAGACCUUUAAACCAGUUAGCAGUUAUUUUCAAGUAAAACUGUAAGAAUCUUCAAGUUAUUUUGCUGCUUAUUUAUAUUGGGGAGUUCUCAAACCAAGAGUGCAAUUACCUUUAAGUGGGAAAAGUGUGCCACCUUGUGGUAGUUAGCUUCAGUGAUUCAGUUCAACUCUCCCAAGUGACCCUGUGUGUGCCCUUCUUUCCUAAUAUCCUGUGGAACUAAGGAAAAAUACAUUUCUUCAAUAUCAGUUUUUUUUUAAAGCAAACUCUCUUCCCAACACGGGGCUUGAACUUACAACCCCCAGAUCAGGAGUUGCAUGCUCUAACCACUGAGCCUGCCAGGUGCCCCUUUCCAGCACUCAUUUUACACAAUUUGAAAUACUUGGAAAAAAGAUUUUGAGGCAUCACAGACUCUUUCCCUACUUAAGGGUAAAUUGCCUUCCUUUGAUAUGGGAUUAGUAAAAGAUGGUUGGCUCCAUUCCAGAAGGAUUCCUCCUUAGGACCGGGUGAUCAGCCCUGGCUUCCAGAGGGAGGAGGCUAAACGGGGCCCUGGAGCCUCGGCCUCUCCAACCAAAGCAGGGGAUCCGGGGGUCGAGCCUGCGGUGGGGAGCGGGGAGCGGUGCGGGGAGCGGGGAGCACGGAGCGGGGAGCAGCGCGGGGAGCAGCGCGGGGAACGCCCAGAGCUCAGUGUGACUCAUUCCCGCGGAGCCCACACGGGGAGGAACGGGGAAGGCCGGACUGCAGCCCCGCGGGGGGGUGGCACUCGCAGAGCCCAAGGAAACGGGCAGAGCACUGGUGGGUGACUUCAGAGGAAGGGGUUCCUCCCUCUAGUCUCCCUCCCAAACCCCGAAGAGGAUUUGUGUAAGAAGCCUGGCUCGACGGCACGCGGCCUUCAAAGCCUGGUUGCAUCGGAGAUGAAACGUUCACUGUACAAGUGUCUG